CUUUUUGAGAAAGUCCUAAUCGCAUUUCAAAGAGAGAAAACUCACCAGCCAUGGCAGUCGCUUCUCGCAUCGCAUCCAAAUACAAAUUGACAGAAGAAGGAAAAUAGACCAACUCAAGUUCAUAAACUUUUAAGAGAAAUGGAAUCAAAGAGAAGAGGAUAGGAUCUGAGCAUCCUGAGUUUUUUCCUAAAAAUCGUGAGUUGGGUCGUCUCUCUUUCUCUUUGUUUCAGAUUUGCUGAAGGAUUAUGCUCGAGGUGGAAUUCUUGCUGCUGUUGCAUCACUCUUUGUCGCAUUUUCAUCUGGAAGAAAUAUAUUGCAAUAUCGGCAUCGAAGCAGACUCUCCUUACUCAUCAAACAGUCGUUUGGGAUACUCAGUUCAGAAGGUAAAGGUCUUCUUGAUGUUAGCAUGGAUUUGAAUCAUUUCAAAGGUGCUUUUGAUUGGGUGGAAGCAAUAGGUCCUGUCGUAUAAUACCUAAUGAUGGAGCUGAUAGGCUAAUACGAAUUUCUAUUAUACAAUAAUAUUUUUACUCAUGAUACUGAGAAUUAAAAAAAGUUUGUUGCAGACCCGUGAAGAAACCGUAAAGAAGUUGACGGCUAAUCCUUUCAUAAACUAUGAACCAUGGUGUCAUUACGUGUAUUGUAAAUCAUAUAUUAGGUAGUCCAAUGCUUUUUGUGACGUGAUAAAAGUGA